CUGAAAACAGAUGCCUAAGCAUAUUCCAAAAUUCCUGUGCGCCAGUGACUGAUCUCUCUGGAACAACAGCAGCCUCUCCUGCACGUUGGGCAUUUCUAUGAUGAAGAACAAGCGGCGGUUCUAAGAAGUGCAUGUGGCUGGUUAUCUAGGAAAUGAGCAAGCUAUUUUUUACUCAUAAUUACCCCCAUCAAGAUGUAAUGAAGAAGACUUGAGCAUCAACCAGAGUUCCUGAGUUUGGAGCUGAGUCCAGCAGAAAAAUGAAGCUUUUCUCAUAUUGCAGUGAAUCAUACUUUGAUGAAAAAUACUUAACUUCAAAAUUAAUUAGGAGGGAGAAAGCUGAAUCUCAUAUCACUG